GACGAACGCUGGCGGCGUGCUUAACACAUGCAAGUCGAACGAAGUGGCGAACGGGUGAGUAAUACGUGGGUAACCUGCCCUCCUUUUUGGGAUAAGCCUUGGAAACGGUUUCUAAUACCGAAUAAAGGCGGAUGGGCGUGCGGCAUAUCAGCGUGUUGGUGGGGCGAUGGCCUACCAAGGCGGUGACGGGUAGCCGGCCUGAGAGGGGGACCGGCAACAUGGUGAUGGAGAUACGGCCAAGAGUCCUACGGGAGGCAGCAGUGGGGGAUAUUGCACAAGGGGCGAAAGCCUGAUGCAGCGACGCCACGUGGGGGAUGAAGGCUUUCGGGUUGUAAACCUCUGUCGCUAUCGAACGGGUAGGUAGAGAAGAAGCGCCGGCUAACUACGUGCCAGCAGCCGCGGUAAUUC
rnacentral:rRNA from 1 species